GGAACGGGUGAGUAACGCGUGAGGAACCUGCCUCAAAGAGGGGGACAACAGUUGGAAACGACUGCUAAUACCGCAUAAGCCCACAGUUCGGCAUCGAGCAGAGGGAAAAAGAGUGAUCCGCUUUGAGAUGGCCUCGCGUCCGAUUAGCUAGUUGGUGAGGUAACGGCCCACCAAGGCGACGAUCGGUAGCCGGACUGGGAGGUUGAACGGCCACAUUGGGACUGAGACACGGCCCAG
rnacentral:rRNA from 1 species